GAAAUGCGAUAAGUAAUGUGAAUUGCAGAAUUCAGUGAAUCAUCGAAUCUUUGAACGCACCUUGCGCUCCUUGGUAUUCCUUGGAGCAUGCCUGUUUGAGUAUCAUGAAAUCUUCAAAGUAAAUCUGUUGUUAACUCAAUUGGCUUCUACUUUGGUAUUGGAGGUCUUUGCAGCUUCACACCUGCUCCUCUUUGUUCAUUAGCUGGAUCUCAGUGUUAUGCUUGGUUCCACUCGGCGUGAUAAGUUAUCUAUCGCUGAGGACACUGUAAAAGGUGGCCAAGGUAAAUGCAGAUGAACCGCUUCUAAUAGUCCAUUGACUUGGAAAAUACUUUUAUGAUCUGAUCUCAAAUCAGGUAGGACUACCCGCUGAACUUAAGC
rnacentral:misc_RNA from 1 species